CAUUAUAGAGUUUUCUAAACUCCCAACCCAUGUGAACUUACCUUUUGUUGCCUCGGCAGAAGUUAUAGGUCUUCUUAUAGCUGCUGCCGGUGGACCAUUAAACUCUUGUUAUUUUAUGUAAUCUGAGCGUCUUAUUUUAAUAAGUCAAAACUUUCAACAACGGAUCUCUUGGUUCUGGCAUCGAUGAAGAACGCAGCGAAAUGCGAUAAGUAAUGUGAAUUGCAGAAUUCAGUGAAUCAUCGAAUCUUUGAACGCACAUUGCGCCCAUUAGUAUUCUAGUGGGCAUGCCUGUUCGAGCGUCAUUUCAACCCUUAAGCCUAGCUUAGUGUUGGGAAUCUACUUCUCUUAGGAGUUGUAGUUCCUGAAAUACAACGGCGGAUUUGUAGUAUCCUCUGAGCGUAGUAAUUUUUUUCUCGCUUUUGUUAGGUGCUAUAACUCCCAGCCGCUAAACCCCCAAUUUUUUGUGGU
rnacentral:rRNA from 1 species